rnacentral:rRNA from 1 species
AUGGACGACUACCUCAAGCUACAUCAAGUACCCUCCGAAGUUCAAGCGAAGUGCGCCACAAGUACCUUCCACGACUAUGCAUUGAUUUGGUGGCUUCACACACCUUCGAGGAGCUUCAACAUGAGUUGGUCCAAGAUGAAGAGAGCUUUGCGGCGAGAAUUUGUGCCUUCCACCUACACGGAACAUCUUCAACGCCAAUUGGAGAACACCAUACAAGGAUCCAUGUACCUCAACGAGUACUUCAAGAACAUGAAGGAAGCCUUGCGACGUGCCAGCGUGGACGACCCCAUUUGGAUAAAGUUCUACUUCAUGAUGGGAUUGAACAACAACAUCGCCAAGACUAUCUUCAACAACAACUACGAGUCCCUCGACGGCCUAUACAUUGGUGCUCUCAAGGCGGAGCAAUAA